rnacentral:rRNA from 1 species
GAUGAACGCUGGCGGCGUGCUUAACACAUGCAAGUCGAACGGAAAGGCCCAAGCUUGCUUGGGUACUCGAGUGGCGAACGGGUGAGUAACACGUGGGUGAUCUGCCCUGCACUUCGGGAUAAGCCUGGGAAACUGGGUCUAAUACCGGAUAGGACGAUGGUUUGGAUGCCAUUGUGGAAAGUUUUUUCGGUGUGGGAUGAGCUCGCGGCCUAUCAGCUUGUUGGUGGGGUAAUGGCCUACCAAGGCGUCGACGGGUAGCCGGCCUGAGAGGGUGUACGGCCACAUUGGGACUGAGAUGCGGCCCAGACUCCUACGGGAGGCAGCAGUGGGGAAUAUUGCACAAUGGGCGCAAGCCUGAUGCAGCGACGCCGCGUGGGGGAUGACGGCCUUCGGGUUGUAAACUCCUUUCGCUAGGGACGAAGCGUUUUUGUGACGGUACCUGGAGAAGAAGCACCGGCUAACUACGUG